UACAGAGGAUGCAAGCGUUAUCCGGAAUCAUUGGGCGUAAAGCGCGUGUAGGCGGCCCGGUAAGUCCGCUGUGAAAGUCCAGGGCUCAACCCUGGAAUGCCGGUGGAUACUGUCGGGCUCGAGUCCGGGAGAGGCGAGUGGAAUUCCCAGUGUAGCGGUGAAAUGCGUAGAUAUUGGGAGGAACACCAGUGGCGAAGGCGGCUCGCUGGACCGGAACUGACGCUGAGGCGCGAAAGCGUGGGGAGCAAACAGG
rnacentral:rRNA from 1 species